rnacentral:rRNA from 1 species
GAUGAACGCUGGCGGCGUGCCUAAUACAUGCAAGUCGAGCGAACGGACGAGAAGCUUGCUUCUCUGAUGUUAGCGGCGGACGGGUGAGUAACACGUGGAUAACCUACCUAUAAGGCUGGGAUAACUUCGGGAAACCGGAGCUAAUCCCGGAUAAUAUUUUGAACCGCAUGGUUCAAAAGUGAAAGACGGUCUUGCUGUCACUUAUAGAUGGAUCCGCGCUGCAUUAGCUAGUUGGUAAGGUAACGGCUUACCAAGGCAACGAUGCAUAGCCGACCUGAGAGGGUGAUCGGCCACACUGGAACUGAGACACGGUCCAGACUCCUACGGGAGGCAGCAGUAGGGAAUCUUCCGCAAUGGGCGAAAGCCUGACGGAGCAACGCCGCGUGAGUGAUGAAGGUCUUCGGAUCGUAAAACUCUGUUAUUAGGGAAGAACAUAUGUGUAAGUAACUGUGCACAUCUUGACGGUACCUAAUCAGAAAGCCACGGCUAACUACGUG